rnacentral:rRNA from 1 species
CCCUUAGAUGUUCUGGGCCGCACGCGCGCUACACUGAUGCAUUCAACGAGUUUCUUCCUGGUCCGAGAGGAAUGGGUAACCUUUUGAAAGUGCAUCGUGAUAGGGAUAGACUAUUGCAAUUAUUGGUCUUCAACGAGGAAUUCCUAGUAGACGUAGUUCAUCAGACUGCAUCGAUUACGUCCCUGCCCUUUGUACACACCGCCCGUCGCUACUACUGAUUGGGUGUUCAAGUGAGAUGCUUAGACCCUUGUUGCAUGGUUCAUUAUUGUGCUCCGAAAGGAAAAAGUUUCAAGCUUGAGUGUCUAGAGGAAGUAAAAGUCGUAACA